CGUAGGUGAACCUGCGGAAGGAUCAUUAGUGAAUUGAAUAUGUUAGCGGACCUCUUCGGAGUCCCUAGCAUCAAAUCAUAUCCAUAACACCUGUGAACUGUAAGGCUGUCUUGAAAACGAAGGUGAUUAGAGCGCCUGCCCAUUUUAUACAAACAUUAAAGUAACAAACGUAGUCUUAUUAUAAUCUAAUAAAACUUUCAACAACGGAUCUCUUGGCUCUC
rnacentral:misc_RNA from 1 species